rnacentral:tRNA from 1 species
GAGAACGUGGUGUAAUGGUAACACGCGUCGCCUGGGACGACGAGUAGCGGUUCGAAUCCGACGUUUUCG